rnacentral:rRNA from 1 species
UGCAAGUCGAGCGGAAACGAGUUAUCUGAACCUUCGGGGAACGAUAACGGCGUCGAGCGGCGGACGGGUGAGUAAUGCCUAGGAAAUUGCCCUGAUGUGGGGGAUAACCAUUGGAAACGAUGGCUAAUACCGCAUGAUGCCUACGGGCCAAAGAGGGGGACCUUCGGGCCUCUCGCGUCAGGAUAUGCCUAGGUGGGAUUAGCUAGUUGGUGAGGUAAGGGCUCACCAAGGCGACGAUCCCUAGCUGGUCUGAGAGGAUGAUCAGCCACACUGGAACUGAGACACGGUCCAGACUCCUACGGGAGGCAGCAGUGGGGAAUAUUGCACAAUGGGCGCAAGCCUGAUGCAGCCAUGCCGCGUGUGUGAAGAAGGCCUUCGGGUUGUAAAGCACUUUCAGUCGUGAGGAAGGUAGUGUAGUUAAUAGCUGCAUUAUUUGACGUUAGCGACAGAAGAAGCACCGGCUAACUCCGUGCCAGCAGCCGCGGUAAUACGGAGGGUGCGAGCGUUAAUCGGAAUUACUGGGCGUAAAGCGCAUGCAGGUGGUUUGUUAAGUCAGAUGUGAAAGCCCGGGGCUCAACCUCGGAAUAGCAUUUGAAACUGGCAGACUAGAGUACUGUAGAGGGGGGUAGAAUUUCAGGUGUAGCGGUGAAAUGCGUAGAGAUCUGAAGGAAUACCGGUGGCGAAGGCGGCCCCCUGGACAGAUACUGACACUCAGAUGCGAAAGCGUGGGGAGCAAACAGGAUUAGAUACCCUGGUAGUCCACGCCGUAAACGAUGUCUACUUGGAGGUUGUGGCCUUGAGCCGUGGCUUUCGGAGCUAACGCGUUAAGUAGACCGCCUGGGGAGUACGGUCGCAAGAUUAAAACUCAAAUGAAUUGACGGGGGCCCGCACAAGCGGUGGAGCAUGUGGUUUAAUUCGAUGCAACGCGAAGAACCUUACCUACUCUUGACAUCCAGAGAACUUUCCAGAGAUGGAUUGGUGCCUUCGGGAACUCUGAGACAGGUGCUGCAUGGCUGUCGUCAGCUCGUGUUGUGAAAUGUUGGGUUAAGUCCCGCAACGAGCGCAACCCUUAUCCUUGUUUGCCAGCGAGUAAUGUCGGGAACUCCAGGGAGACUGCCGGUGAUAAACCGGAGGAAGGUGGGGACGACGUCAAGUCAUCAUGGCCCUUACGAGUAGGGCUACACACGUGCUACAAUGGCGCAUACAGAGGGCAGCCAACUUGCGAAAGUGAGCGAAUCCCAAAAAGUGCGUCGUAGUCCGGAUUGGAGUCUGCAACUCGACUCCAUGAAGUCGGAAUCGCUAGUAAUCGUGGAUCAGAAUGCCACGGUGAAUACGUUCCCGGGCCUUGUACACACCGCCCGUCACACCAUGGGAGUGGGCUGCAAAAGAAGUAGGUAGUUUAACCUUCGGGGGGACGCU